rnacentral:rRNA from 1 species
AUACGUAGGUGGCGAGCGUUGUCCGGAAUUACUGGGCGUAAAGGGUGCGUAGGCGGUUAUUUAAGUCUCGUGUGAAAGGCGCCGGCUCAACCGGCGAGAGCCACGGGAAACUGGGUAGCUAGAGUGCCGGAGAGGGUCGCGGAAUUCCCGGUGUAGCGGUGAUAUGCGUAGAUAUCGGGAGGAACACCAGUGGCGAAGGCGGCGGCCUAGACGGUAACUGACGCUGAGGCACGAAAGCUGGGGGAGCAAACAGGAUUAGAUACCCUGGUAGUCCCAGCCAUAAACGAUGAGCGCUAGGUGUUGCGGGUAUCGACCCCUGCAGUGCCGCAGUCAACGCAAUAAGCGCUCCGCCUGGGGAGUACGGCCGCAAGGCUGAA